rnacentral:rRNA from 1 species
UACGAAGGGGGCUAGCGUUGCUCGGAAUCACUGGGCGUAAAGCGCGCGUAGGCGGUUUUUUAAGUCAGAGGUGAAAGCCCAGUGCUCAACACUGGAACUGCCUUUGAAACUGGAAAACUUGAAUCUUGGAGAGGUCAGUGGAAUUCCGAGUGUAGAGGUGAAAUUCGUAGAUAUUCGGAAGAACACCAGUGGCGAAGGCGACUGACUGGACAAGUAUUGACGCUGAGGUGCGAAAGCGUGGGGAGCAAACAGGG